AUUGAACGCUGGCGGCAUGCUUUACACAUGCAAGUCGAACGGUAGGGUAGCAAUACCUGAGAGUGGCGAACGGGUGAGUAAUGUAUCGGAACGUGCCCAAGAGUGGGGGAUAGCCCGGCGAAAGCCGGAUUAAUACCGCAUACGAUCUAUGGAUGAAAACGGGGGACCGCAAGGCCUCGUGCUCCUGGAGCGGCCGAUAUCAGAUUAGGUAGUUGGUGGGGUAAAGGCUCACCAAGACAACGAUCUGUAGCUGGUUUGAGAGAACGACCAGCCACACUGGGACUGAGACACGGCCCAGACUCCUACGGGAGGCAGCAGUGGGGAAUUUUGGACAAUGGGCGCAAGCCUGAUCCAGCAAUGCCGCGUGCAGGAUGAAGGCCUUCGGGUUGUAAACUGCUUUUGUACGGAGCGAAAAGGCUUCUUCUAAUACAGGAGGCUCAUGACGGUACCGUAAGAAUAAGCACCGGCUAACUACGUGCCAGCAGCCGCCGUAA
rnacentral:rRNA from 1 species